UCUUCGGAGAGCGUACACACAGGUGCUGCACGGCUGUCGUCAGCUCGUGUCGUGAGAUGUUGGGUUAAGUCCCGCAACGAGCGCAACCCCUGUUGUUAGUUGCUACGAAAGGGCACUCUAAUGAGACUGCCGGUGACAAACCGGAGGAAGUGGGGAUGACGUCAAGUCCUCAUGGCCCUUAUAGGUGGGGCUACACACGUCAUACAAUGGACUGGUACAAAGGGUUGCCAACCCGCGAGGGGGAGCCAAUCCCAUAAAGCCAGUCGUAGUCCGGAUCGCAGUCUGCAACUCGACUGCGUGAAGUCGGAAUCGCUAGUAAUCGUGGAUCAGCAUGUCACGGCGAAUACGUUCCCGGGUCUU
rnacentral:rRNA from 1 species